UUUCACUUGAAAAAUAGAUCGAGAGAAAAGAAGAAGAAGAAGAAAUGGUAUUUUUUCAUUUUGGAGUCUUCAUAUUCCGAUCCAAAUCGAUACAAGUUGAUUUUGGAGAGAAAGUAAGUCGUAUAAACGUGAAUCAAAACCCUAGUUUUUGAUAGAGAUCAGAUUGUACUUGAUCGAUUUGUGUGGAAUCGAAAAAAAAUUUAUUACAACCAUUUUUGCAUCGAAAUUGAUCGAGAGUUAGAUACGAGCUUCCCGAUUCAAUAUCCGAAAAUUGUAAGUUUCAAAUUCAGCGAUUGAAGAUUUAAAGAGAUUCAUCUUUUAGUGAGUACGCACUCUAUGCAACUCAAUGCCUCUCGUGUCAAAGUUUUUCAAGCACCAGAUAAUUUGGUCAGCUCAACUAAGGAUGCAACUGCAAAGGAACUAUUGAAGGCGAGAGAUGGAUAUCGCUACAGAAGCAUUACUAAUUUCAUAUUAAGGGUCUACCUUGUAACUAGUUGAAAGUAUCAGGUAUCUGAAUGUCGUUUACAACGACGACAGUUGGAUUGAUCUUGGAAGUAGGGCACUAGUAGAUAAAGUAACUAGGAUUGUCUAUACUGAGUGGCUACUCUCAAAGGAAGAAUAUAUUUGAUUCUACCAAAUGGGUAUCUUGUUGUUAAGUUCCCGCAAGAUUUGUACCAAAGUUGUCGUUGAUCAUGGAAACCCACAAUCUAAACAAGAAUCACUUCGACCUUUAUCAGGGAAAGCGGAGAAUGUGAUUCCAAAAAAGUUUCCUAGGAAAGCACCAGUUGACGAUUGGUCGUCUCUAGUAGUUCUUUGUGCGCAUUUGAAUCUUAUUAUCGGUGUUGGUUAAUGCGGGGAUUAUUCCAUGGUAAACAAGUGAGCUAGACAAAGACGACCAUUCAUUCAUCUUGUGGAGUUCAAAAAUUUAGCUUGCGAAGUUCAAGGUACUUGGAAUCGUAAGCGCUUGAUAAAUUCUUAUGUCAAGUACCAGAAUGAAUUUGUAGUCCAAUAAGAAGAAGAAAAGGAAGUAGUAGCAGGCGAACUAUACCCAAGUUGAAAAGCCAAAAAAGAUAAAACAUCUUAAAUAUUAAGUUUAAUAUCGCUGCAGAAAAAAUCUGCAGAUGUGUCGAACUUUUAUAUGGAAUUUUAUUCAGUUUAAUUGAUGUUUUUUUUAAUAUUUUGAGGAAGAAAUGGAGAUAAGUAUAUAAGAUAGGAUUUUGUUUGGUAGUGAAGUAGGCUAAGAUAUUACAAUUAGGCUUCCCCAAAUGAAGAAUGCCAGGUUUGUCCAGCUGCUAUCCACAAAUUUUUUUGGUAGUAU